CAAAUUAAAUAGUUUUAAGGUCUUUAGAAUAUAAAGUUAAAAGAGAAAGAGGUUCAAUUCCUCUACAGCCCCCGCUACUGUAAUCAGGUAUGAAAUCUUCAAAUCCACUGGGAAACCGGGAAGGGAAGAUAGUAAGUCGAUCUGUAAGUCAGGAGAACUGCCUUAAAAAUAAGAAUCAC
rnacentral:ncRNA from 2 species